GGGGAAUAGGUUUGGGACAUAAACUUCGUGCUUACAUCCUGCAAGAUGAUGGGCAUGACACGGUUGAAGCUAAUGAAGAGCUGGGACUACCAGUUGAUUCACGCGAGUAUGGCAUUGGCGCACAGAUUCUACGAGAUUUGGGUGUUCGUACAAUGAAACUGAUGACAAACAACCCCGCGAAGUAUGUUGGGCUCAAAGGAUAUGGUCUGGCAAUUUCAGGUAGAGUUCCCCUGUUGGCUCCUAUAACUAGAGAAAAUAAGAGGUACUUAGAGACCAAACGCGUGAAAUUGGGGCACAUAUAUGACUCCAAUGACGAUGCCAAUGGCCACGUUAAUAGUUCUGAAGUUGAUAGAACGAGCCACGAUGAGUUACAUGACAACGCUGACUGAAAAUCGUCUAAACAACCGCAGUGAAAAAACUGAUUUGAGCAUUUUCUAGUAGCCUGUUCCAAACAUUUUUUUAGCUCUGUUGGAUAAAUGUACUUUUUUUCUUCUUCUUUUGCUCAUGUAGAAGAGUUCAAGGGGGAAGUGAUCACAAAAGUUUUGAAGAAACAUUUGUGGUGUUGG
rnacentral:misc_RNA from 1 species